GUACACGCUGUGACUAGCAUAUCAAUAAGCGGAGGAAAAGAAACUAACAAGGAUUCCCCUAGUAACGGCGAGUGAAGCGGGAAGAGCUCAAAUUUGAAAUCUUAAAGGGUUUCCCUUUACGAAUUGUAGUUUAAAGAAGUGUUUUCUGUUGAGGUUUUGGUAAAAGUUCUUUGGAAUAGGACAUCAUAGAGGGUGAGAAUCCCGUAUUUGACCUUUACUUUCAACUUUGUGAUACACUUUCAAAGAGUCGGAUUGUUUGGGAAUGCAGUCCAAAAUGGGUGGUAAAUUUCAUCUAAAGCUAAAUAUUGGCGAGAGACCGAUAGCGAACAAGUACCGUGAGGGAAAGAUGAAAAGAACUUUGAAGAGAGAGUUAAACAGUACGUGAAAUUGUCAAAAGGGAAGCGUUUGACACCAGUGUUGUUUUUCUGAAAAUCAAUUAAAGAACUGUUUAUGCUAAGCUGUUUAGACUUUAUCAGCUAUCUGUUUAGUUUUGAGCUUUUCUUUAAUGCACUUUUCAGUUAACAAGUCAACAUCAAUUUCUUUUGCUGUAAAAAAGCUUGAGGAAGGUGGCUUGAGAUUCGUCUUAAGUGUUUAUAGCCUCUUGCCUAUGCAGUCGGAGAGAUUGAGGUCUGCAGCGUAGAUCCUUCGGGGCUAAAUGCAUUUGUGCUAAGUUAUAGCAUUUUAUAGACAACUUGUUGACUAUGAUUUGUCUUGUAGCUUACUCGCUUAUGUUAUUUUACCUACGCUUAGGAUGUUGAAGAUGUAGCACAUCAU
rnacentral:rRNA from 1 species